rnacentral:rRNA from 1 species
CUUAGUGGCGGACGGGUGAGUAACGCGUGAGCAACCUGCCUUUCAGAGGGGGAUAACGUUUGGAAACGAACGCUAAUACCGCACGAGACUACAGUACUACAUGGUACAGUGGCCAAAGGAGCAAUCCGCUGAAAGAUGGGCUCGCGUCCGAUUAGAUAGUUGGCGGGGUAACGGCCCACCAAGUCGACGAUGUCUAGGGGUUCUGAGAGGAAGGUCCCCCACACUGGUACUGAGACACGGACCAGACUCCUACGGGAGGCAGCAG